CGCGUAGGCGGUUAGAUAAGUUGGAUGUGAAAUCCCUGGGCUUAACCUAGGAACUGCAUACAAUACUGUUUAACUGGAGUGCAGUAGAGGGUAGUGGAAUUUCCGGUGUAGCGGUGAAAUGCGUAGAUAUCGGAAGGAACACCAGUGGCGAAGGCGGCUACCUGGACUGACACUGACGCUGAAGCGCGAGAGCGUGGGAGCAAACA
rnacentral:rRNA from 1 species